GGAAGACUAAAGCUGAUGAAGGCAAAGGAAAGUGUUUCCACUGCUAGAAGGAUGGGCACUGAAAAAGGAACUGCCCAGAGUAUCUUGCUUCUCUGAAGGACAAGAAGGAUACACCUUCGGAAGGUAUGUCCAUAUCUUGUUAUUUAGAUUCUGAUGAUACUCAUAGUUCAUCUACAGCUUGGGUUUUAGAUACUGGUGCCAGUUCU
rnacentral:misc_RNA from 1 species